rnacentral:rRNA from 1 species
AUUGAACGCUGGCGGCAGGCCUAACACAUGCAAGUCGAACGAGUGGCGGACGGGUGAGUAAUGUCUGGGAAACUGCCUGAUGGAGGGGGAUAACUACUGGAAACGGUAGCUAAUAUCGCAUACCAUCAGAUGUGCCCAGAUGGGGUUAGCUAGUUGGUGGGGUAACGGCUCACCAAGGCGACGAUCCCUAGCGGGUCGGAGAGGAUGACCGGCCAAACUGGAACGGAAGCACGGUCCAGACUCCUACGGGAGGAAGCAGUGGGGAAAAUUGCACAAGGAGCGCAAGCCUGAUGCAGACAUGCCGCGUGUAUGAAAAAGGCCUUCGGGUUAUAAAGUACUUUCAGCGGGGAGGCGUUACCCGCAGAAGAAGCACCGGCUAACUCCGUGCCAGCAGCCGCGGUAAUAC